CUGCAGCAGCCCAAGGAGAGCAACUGCUCCCAGGGCUGUAUUUAAUAGAAACUGGACUGGAAGACAUGCAAUAACAACUACUGAAGAUAUUUUGGCAGCAUCUCAGAUGACUUCUCGUAAUUAACAUAAGCCAAAUGGGUCACUGGCUACCUGUCUGAGGGAAUUUCUGGCAUGAGAGAUUCUCUCCAUGGAGCUAAAUCAACAGGAAAAUUCAAGGCCAGUUACCUUCCCUCUGAUGCACAGAGCUUAAGAUUGAGUGUGACCUUCAUGCAAGCAACUGUGAAGCAUAGAGCAGUGAGAUCACGGUCCUUCUCCUGAGGCCAGCCUGACCCCUGAGGUGGCACAUCCUAUGCAGAAGCACUAUGGACUUCCAGGAGUUUCAAUGUUCUUCUGCUCAAGAAGUUUUGGCUUUGUCAUGGAUAGCAAAUGAAUGACAGGGAUAUUUAUCAAGCCUCUCUAGCCAGACAGAUGUGUAAAGCACAAACUAGAGUCUCAGACAGACAAAUGAUAUACCAAAAUGCCCACUCAUGAAUAACAAUCUGCAAAUCACAAAAAUAAUUUAACAAAAGCCUUCAUGAUAUGCCAAACAUUUCUCACCACUCGGGAGAGAAUUCUCUGGGGGAGAACAAUGUGCCUUGUAAAUACUGAAUUUAUAACAAGGGCUGGAAAUUUUACAGUGACUGUUGUGACUCUAUAUCUAUUCU